UAAUAUUGCUGCCCCAGCUCAUUCUAUUGCCCUGGGCUACAGGAAAAAUCCCCUCUGUGCAUUUUUCAAAGGAAAAUAACCAGUCUAGUGGCAAUAUGGGGACUUGGUUUUCCCUGGUAGCGUAGGCUUUUUGGAAACAUCUCAUUCCUCCAACGUGAUUGGGGACAGCAGCUUGAAAUCCAGAACAAGGAACUCCGCUCUAGAUUAAGGAUGUCCAGUCUGUUAGAUCAGGAAUUUUCCUCUCAUGUACACCAGUAUAAAUUGGGAGUCGCUCCACUGGCGUUGCACCUGUGUGAAACUGGCCUGACUUCCGGACUAGUGCCUCGAAGUGCUGUUCGGAUCAUCACCAGGCCCCGUCCAGAGUGGUGUAGAGAGCAACGACGCUUCGGAGAAUCAGAGCCGCGUGUGAAUCUCAGCAGGACGGGCUACAGAAAGGGACUGAGGCAGCAUUCAUUCGAGUCGGUGGGAUCUUUCCAUUAAUGUCCAUGGGCAUUGGACCAGGCCUUAAGAAAGCCGCUAAGCGGAUGUUCAGUUGUGGCUGCAUUUAGAAGGUUACGCAGCCCAGUUUGUCUUUCUCAGACUCUACUUGGCUGUAUUUAGUGGGUGGCUAAAUUUCUCUCCUGUUGUACCUCAAAUCAUUUCCGCAGGCUAGCAUGAAAAGAGACAAGUGCCAUGGCGAUGGGGAGACAGACUGCAGGGCAGAGCUGGUCUUUGUCAACGGAGGCUGCAGUGACCCUGCUGAAGAUGAAGCUUCUCCCCCAGCUCUGGAAGCAAAUGGGAGGCCCAAUACACAAGAUGCUGUGGACCUACGAAUAGUGUCCACUAGGAGCAAGAAGAUCGGCAAGGAAGACGUCUCCAAGGAAGACCUAUCUUGGCCCAUGAAGCUCAGCAAGGCUCCGGAGGUCAGUUGUUUCCUCCCACAGAACAUCGUGCUCUGGUCUCUAUUGUAUAGUAGCC
rnacentral:lncRNA from 1 species